rnacentral:rRNA from 1 species
UACGGAGGGGGCUAGCGUUAUUCGGAAUUACUGGGCGUAAAGCGCACGUAGGCGGCUUUGUAAGUUAGAGGUGAAAGCCUGGUGCUCAACACCAGAACUGCCUUUAAGACUGCAUCGCUUGAACACGGGAGAGGUGAGUGGAAUUCCGAGUGUAGAGGUGAAAUUCGUAGAUAUUCGGAAGAACACCAGUGGCGAAGGCGGCUCACUGGACCGUUGUUGACGCUGAGGUGCGAAAGCGUGGGGAGCAAACAGG